rnacentral:lncRNA from 10 species
CGAGAAUCUAAUCUGAGAGGUGGUAGGUGACGGAUGGGGUCCCCAGCUGCCAAAGGUCGCACGGCGGGAAGGAGCUGGCCGAAGCACUGACUUGGAAGUCAGACCUCAUUUCCAGGGUCACAUCGCCAGUCGUGGCCUUGCGCGGAUUACCUAACAUCAAGUCUCAAUUUCUUCACCUGACAAUCACCUCCUAGGAUUGCUGUAAAAAAUAAUAAUAAUAAUGCAUUACAGUUCUUGGCCCAGUGCCUGGCUCAUGGUGAGUUCUCAGUAAAUAACCAUGACCAGCACGUUGGGAGGCUGAGACAGGAGGAUCUCCUGAGCCCAGGAGUUCGAGACCAGCCUGGGCAACAUAGCCAGAUCCCCGUCUCUACAAAAAAAAUUAAAAAUAAUUAGAUAGGAGUGGUGGCAAGCGCCUGUGGUCCCCGCUACUUGGGAGGCUGAGUCUGGAGGAUCUCUGGAGCCCAGGAGGUCGAGGUGCAGUGAGCCGAGAUCGUGCCACUGCACUCCCAGCCUGGGCAACAGAGCAAGACCCUGUCUCAAAAAAAUAAAGUUGGUAACUAUGAGGGUGCUAAGGAAGAUGCCCACCCAAUUCACUGUGCUUUCUACUUCUCCCGCUGGAAAGCCUUGCUCUGGAGGAAGGCAGCUGCAGAGGAAGAUCCACAGAACCCCAAUCUUGGAUGGCUACUCGUGUCCCUCCAAUCUCCAGGCUCUCCUCCCUCUGGUUCACACUGCACAUUGCUUCACUAACCUGCUGGCUGCCUCACCAGCAACCGCGUUACCUUCGGACUGAACAGAGAUUUCAAGGUACUCCAUUUUGACCCCACCCUACCUCAUUCUCCUCUAUCUCCCGAACAAACAAACCUGUAGCCCAGACACUUUUUACUUCCAGGCCUUUACGUUGUACCCUUGACUGUCUUUGCCAACCUCCCACUGCAAGGGUUCACUCAUAUUUCUCCAAGGUUUGACUUCCUAUGCCCUGCUGAGGGCAGGGACCAGGUAGUGACUUAUUCAACUUGUCUCCUUCACAGCCUCCAGCACAAACCUGGGUGCACAGUAGGUACCCGGGAAGUGCUACUGAACUCAAGAGUUUGCAGGUUAAGUUGGCCAACCAUGAGGACCAAGUGUUUCCUUUUACCACGUAGGAAAUUAGAAGACAGAGGUAUGCCUCAGGUUUGCAACUGAGGGCAGCUGCAGUGUGAGAAAGGCCUGUUUAGUAUGUUGGAAAUAUUUUUUUUCUUUUUUUUUUUUCUUUUUGGAGACAGAGUCUUGCUCUGUCUCCCAGGCUGGAGUGCAAUGGCGCAAUCUUAGCUCACUGCAACCUCUGCCUCCCAAGUUCAAGCGAUUCUUGUACCUCAGCCUCCCAAGUAGCUAGGAUUACAGAUGUACGACACCAUGCCCGCUAAUUUUUGUAUUUUUAGUAGAAAUGGGGUUUCACCAUGUUGGCCAGGCUGGUCUUGAACUCCUGACCUCAAGUGAUCUGCCCACCUCGGCCUCCCAAGGUGCUGGGAUUACAGGUGUGAGCCACUGCACCUGGCCAUGUUGGAAAUAUGUAACGAUGAUGGGAGGAGUGGGGGAAAGAAGCCAGCAGGCAUAGAAGGGGCAAGAAAGCCUAACAGAACUGUGUUGUUUUGGUGCCAUUUUCCCUUCUGGAUGAUCCAUUAUACUCAUUCAACAUUAUGACUCAGUUAAUUUCCAUAAAGGCUUCUUGAGGCCAGAUGCAGUGACUCAUACCUGUAACCCCAGUGCUUUGGGAGGCUGAGGUGGGAGGAUCACUUGAAGCCAGGACUUCAAGACCAGCCUGGGCAACACAGCAAGAUCUCGUUACUACAAAAAGAUAAAAAAUAAAACCAAUAAUUAGCCAGGCAUGGUAGUGCGCACCUAUAGUCCCAGCUACUCAGGAGGCUAAGGUGAGUGGAUUACUGGAGCCCAGGAGUUUGAAGCUACAGUGAGCUAUGAUUAUGUCACUGCACUCCAGCCUGGGCAAUAGACCGAGACCCUGUUACGAUUUGUUGAGCAUUUACUUUGUGCCAGGCAUGUGCCGGGUGCUACCAAGUGCACAAAGCUGAAUGAGACUCAGUUCCAAGGCACUCCAGCAUCAUCUAAAGGAAGUCCUGAUUACUGUGAUGCUUUGGGUGUUUUGAGGAGAGAGCGAUUUCUGUAAGUUGGUGGAUUUUUGUGAAGUAGGAGGGGCUCAGCUGGGCCCUGAAGGAUAUAUCAGAUUUGACAGAAACAGGAGGAGACAUAUGAGAAGAGCAUUUCAGGAGAGAAGAGGAGAACAGCCUACGCAAAGAUAUGGGGACCAGAGAGUCGUGGCGUUUCCAGGUUUCACAUACCCCAUUGUGGCUGGAAUGUAGGAUGCUUUAGGAGGCCACUGAGAAUGAGUGGUAGAAAUAAGACAGAAAUAAGACAGGCUGCGCUCAGACCAUGAACACCAGGCUAAGGAGCCAGCCUUCAGAGAACACCAGGCUGAGACCAGGGGAGCCAGCCUUCAGAGAACUUUGAGCAGUGACCUGCUUAGGCUGUUCUCAAAUUGCAAGGGAGGUAUGAGAAGAAGGAGUCCAGCAGCCAACAGCUUGGCAGGCAGGUCACAGCUAGAUGCCUUCAUUCAUUUUCACCUGGGGAUUGUCUGCCUUCUGCCCCAAUCUGCCUACCUCUUCCCCAUCUUGGAGUCUCUUCUAAGUUGGUACUGAAUUAAAUAAGAGGGUAUACACUUUCCUCUUGAUUAUCCUACCUGUCCAAUGUUCUACUACACGCCAGCUGGACAAAGUCAUAGAUUUCAGUUCAAAACUGACCUGGGGAGGUGGGGCACAGCGUCUCACACCUGUAAUCCCAACACUUCGAGAGGCCAAGGCUAGAGGAUCACUUGAGCCCAGGAGUUCAAGACCAGCCUGGGCAACAUACUGAGAUUCUGUCUCUAUAAAACAAACUUCAAAAAUUAGCUGAGUGUGGUGGCGUCCACCUGUAGUCCCAGCUACUAGGGAGGCUGAGGUGGGAGGAUUGCUGGAGCCCAGGAGUUCGAGGCUGCAGUGAGCUAUGAUUGCACCACUGCACUCCAGCCUCAGCAACAGAGUGGGACCCUGUCUUUAAAAACAAACAAACAAACAAACAACUCAGCCUGGGAGGAAGUUUUUCAGCUCUAGUUCCCCCUCCUCUCCAACACUCACAUUUUUAGUGCUGCUCCCCCAAUAAAGAAAACAAGGCAUAAAACCUAGCUGGACAGCCUCCCCAGCUGAGUAUGAAACAAAGCAUAUCUUCCACCCAUGGAAAGGAUUAGAGGACAAAGAGGGUGGGGAAGUACCUGUGACCUCAUGUGUUUGAGUUUCUGUGAGACACAAAUAGACUUUGGUGAAAGCAGAUGUGGUAGUUUGGAGGCAGGCACAGCUGCCUCACCACCCAGGAGAAAUCCAGACCACUCUCAUCAGACACUGACCACUGGCAGGGGUUAGCUCAAAGGAGUGGGGGCUUCCCAAGGCAGGAACUGGAAAUUUUUCAGAGAAGGAAGAGGCCGGAGCCCCAGCACCAGGUGUGCCUUGCUGCCUCCAGCUGUUUGGUGGCUGUUUUUUCCCCUCCACCAGCCCAGAGCACGUUGUUCCCAUGACUCUGCCCAGGAGUCACCCUCUGUCUUCUCCCAAUUUUCCAGACCCAGAAUCCAGGCUGGGGGAUGCACAGGGACAACAACAAGGGCAGUGACAAGGCAGGCACCCUGCAGGCCCCUGGCUCCCCACUGGCCCUGGGAAGACUCCACCGUGGCCGCUCCUCCCCACUCCCAAAGGCCAGGCUAUGCUGGCCGGCUGAACCCGCGCAGGGUCACUGAGUUCCAGGAGUGUUUGUAAAUACCUCCCGCAGCCAGGGUGCGGCAGAACAGGAAGGCUGCUCCUUCCUCCCAUCCUGCCCUGCCUCCAGCUUGGACUGAAAGAGGAAGAGUUUCAAUCAACCCUGAGCACAUGGACAAGCCUGGCAGGUUAGACUGGACAGCUUUCCUGAUUGCUUGCAAAUAGAAGGCAGUUCAAGGUAAGUAGAAGAUCCAUAAAUGACGUGCAAGCCUUCAGCAUGGACAGAAAACCGGACAGAAAAUGAUCUCAACAGAAGGACCCUCACUCCAGUGACAAGUGUCCUAACAGAACAAGGCAGAGCGAGACUACACAAACAGGAGGAGAAAGACCUGAGAAGGAGGAGGCAGAGAUGAGACUGAUGCAUCCACAAACCAAGGAAUGCCCAAGGCCACCAGAAGCCAGAGGACACGAGUGACAACACCUCCCUAGAGCCUCUGGACAGAGUUCAACCCUGCUGACACCUUCAUUCUGGACUUUCAACCUCCAGAGCUGACAGUGAGAGAAUAAAUAUCUGUUGCCUUUUUUUUUUUUUUUUUUUUUCAGAUGGAGUCUCUCUUUGUCACCCAGGCUGCAGUGCAAUGGCACAAUCUCAGCUCACUACAAUCUCCGUCUCCCAGGUUCAAGCAAUUCUCCUGCCUCAGCCUCCCAAGUAGGUGGGAUUACAGGUGCCCGCCACCAUGCCUAGCUGAUUUUUGUAUUUUUAGUAGAGACAGGGGUUUCACCAUGUUGGCCAGGUUGGUCUUGAACUCCUGACUUCAGGUGAUCUUCCUGCCUUGGCCUCCCAAAGUCCUGGGAUUACAGGUGUGAGCCACUGCGCCCGGCCAUCUGUUGUCUUAAGCCACCAAGUUAGUGGUAAUUUGUGACAGCAGCCACAGGAAGCGAAUACAGGGGUAUGGGGAAUGAAAUCGCUCUAAAUUCUCCUCUGUCUUUCAGUGCAUAGACAUAAGUGUGCACCCACACCCAAGAAUGGAAUUGCUGGAUCACAGGGUGGGUGUAUGUUCAGCACUAAGAGAUAUUGCUAAACAAUUUUCUAAAGAGGUUAUAGCAAUUUAUACUCCCACCAAUGUUUGAGAUCCAGUUUCUCCACAUGGUUGUCAGCCUCAGUGCUAUGGUUUGAAUAUUUGACCCCUCCAAACCUCAUGUUGAAAUGUGAUCCCCAGUGUCAGAGGUGGGACCUAAUAGGAGGUGUUUGGGUCAUGGGGGCGGAUCCCUCAAGACUUCAUGACAGCUUGGUGCAGUCUUGGAAGUAGUGAGUAAGUUCUCGUUCUGUAAGUUCCUGUGAGGGCUGAUUGCGUUUUUUUUCGUUUCGUUUGUUGUUUGUUUGUUUUUCUUCGAGACGGAGUCUUGCUCUGUCACCCAGGCUGGAGUGCAGUGGCACCAUCUCGGCUCACUGCAACCUCCGCCUCCCAGGUUCAAGCAAUUCUCCUGCCUCAGCCUCCCAAGUAGCUGGGAUUACAGGCUCCUGCCACCAUGCACAGCUAAUUUUUGUAUUUUUAGUAGAGACGGGGUUUCGCCAUGUUGGCCAGGCUGGUCUUGAGCUGCUGGCCUCAAGUGACCCACCCGCCUCCGCCUCCCAGAGUGCUGGGAUUACAGGCAUGAGCCACCGCGUCCAGCCUGGGCUGGUUAUUAAAAAAAACAGACUGCUACCUCCCCUCUCUCUCUUGCUUUCUCUCUCACCCUAUGGUCUCUGCACACGCAGGCUUCCGUUUGCCUUCUGCCAUGAGUGGAAGCAGGUUGAGGCCCCCAUCAGAAGUAGAUGUUGGUGCCAUGCUUCUUGUAUGGCCAGAAGAACCAGCAGCCAAAUGAACCUCUUUUCUUUAUAAAUUACCCAGCCUUGGGUAUUCCUUAUAGUAACACAAGCAGAUGAAGACAUUUAGUAUUGUCUUUUGCAUUUCACCCUUCUGGCGGCUGUGCAAUAGUUUUAAUUUUUAUUUCCCUGGUGACUAAUGAGGCUGUAUGCUUUUUCUUAAGCUUUUUCACCAUUUGGAUAUGGUUUUCUCGUGAUGGGCCUACUCAUAUCUUUGGCCCAUUUUUCUUCUG